rnacentral:rRNA from 1 species
GAUGAACGCUGGCGGCGUGCCUAAUACAUGCAAGUCGAGCGAACAGACGAGGAGCUUGCUCCUCUUACGUUAGCGGCGGACGGGUGAGUAACACGUGGAUAACCUACCUAUAAGACUGGGAUAACUUCGGGAAACCUGAGCUAAUACCGGAUAAUAUAUUGAACCUCAUGGUUCAAUAGUGAAAGACGGUUUUGCUGUCACUUAUAGAUGGAUCCGCGCCGCAUUAGCUAGUUGGUAAGGUAACGGCUUACCAAGGCAACGAUGCGUAGCCGACCUGAGAGGGUGAUCGGCCACACUGGAACUGAGACACGGUCCAGACUCCUACGGGAGGCAGCAGUAGGGAAUCUUCCGCAAUGGGCGAAAGCCUGACGGAGCAACGCCGCGUGAGUGAUGAAGGUCUUCGGAUCGUAAAACUCUGUUAUUAGGGAAGAACAAAUGUGUAAGUAACUAUGCACGUCUUGACGGUACCUAAUCAGAAAGCCACGGCUAACUACGUG